GACAGAGUGCCCGAGUGGUUAAGGGGAGUGACUUGAAGCGCUAGGCCUGGAGUGCGAGAAAUCGUAUGAAGAACCGCCUAGCAAUAGAUAUCACUUGGUUUCGGCCUCGCAGGUUCGAAUCCUGUCUCUGUCG
rfam:Metarhizium robertsii ARSEF 23 MAA_Scf_4, whole genome shotgun sequence.